AGAUGGCAGACGAGACCCUGAGCUGGAGAUGCUUGGAGGAGCUUGGAUGAAUUUACAUUAAUAAACGCAAUGUGAAGUUCAAAAUUGACACGGGUGCUGAUGUCACAGUCUUUCCACACAGUGUUCCAAAGGAUAUACAAGGACCACUCACCCACACUCAAGAAGGCAACAAAGUCACUGCUUGGACCAGUAGGAGUCCGCUUGAAGUGGUGGGCGUCGCCAGGCUGCUGCUGAGGAAAGCGUGGGGUUCAUCGAGAUCAAGUGCACGAGUGUCUGCACUGGAAGAAAGAGACAGCUCAUAAGAAAGGGAAGGUAUUCUGGAGCUCAAAAAAUCACAGGGAACAGACUUUGAAAGCUGGCAAAUAUCACAGAAAUGUUACUCUCCCAGAAUUAGUGGCAAGUUGGUUUUCAAGAAAUCCAGACUUGAUCUGUGAAGCCAGCAGAUGUAACCAGAAGUGACACAGCAAGUGGAGUAUGCUACUGCAGAAAGCCCAUUGAUAACAAACUGAUUGUGAGUUCUCAUCUGGCUUGUGUAAAAUUGUUAAGUUUCACAUAAAUUGCCUCCAAGUGAAAAAUGUUCCAAAGAGGAAGUGGACAUGCCCAGACUGGAGAAAAAUUCUGAAUUUUCAAAAGUCAAAUUAAGAGAUAUGUUAAUUUUGAAAACCUAGUGUUCUUCCUGAAGGUUUUAUUGUAUUUUUUUUCUUUUAAUAGAAUCCAAAUAGUUGUACAUUCAUUGUUUAUGUAGCCAAAUUGCACAUUUUGUAUGUGUACUUGUAUGUAUGUACCAGUGCACGUAUGUAUCUCAAUGUUAAGUUGUUUGGAAUUCUAACUUUGUGAAAACACAAGAGAAAGAUAAUUUUCAAAUGCAAACAAUAUCUUUAAUCAUCUCGCUUUUUUUGUAUUCAAAAAAGUUGGAAUGCACAGGACACAAAUUUGUAUAAAAUUAUUAUGUGCACCAAUAUUCGUCACAAAUGUUUUAUCACUCAUA